rnacentral:rRNA from 1 species
GACGAACGCUGGCGGCGUGCUUAACACAUGCAAGUCGAACGAAGUGGCGGACGGGUGAGUAAUGCCUAGGAAUCUGCCUGGUAGUGGGGGAUAACGUCCGGCAACGGGCGCUAAUACCGCAUACUAUCAGAUGAGCCUAGGUCGGAUUAGCUAGUUGGUGGGGUAACGGCCUACCAAGGCGACCAUCCGUAACUGGUCUGCGAGGAUGAUCAGUCACACUGGAACUGAGACACGGUCCAGACUCCUACGGGAGGCAGCAGUGGGGAAUAUUGGACAAUGGGCGAAAGCCUGAUGCAGCCAUGCCGCGUGUGGGAAGAAGGUCUUCGGAUUGUAAAGCACUUUAAGUUGGGAGGCGUUACCAACAGAAUAAGCACCGGCUAACUUCGUGCCAGCAGCCGCGGUAAUAC